GCGUGGCCUUCACUCUUGUUCCUUCCAAUUCCACCGCCAUUGAAUUUUCCUUUCCUUUUGUUUUGUUUCUUUUCGUUACUUUGUAUUGCUGCUGCCCUGUUUUUCUGCUGGGAAGAAUCGAAAGAAACAGAGAGCAUCAGAGAGAGAGAAGUAAGGUAUAUAGCUAGAGGAGAAUCAAAGGAAACGGUAGAGGAAGGAGACUAAGUUGAAGUUCUUGAUUUGAGCUGAGGAGACCGAAAAUAUACACCCGGAAGGCUCGACUCGUUGAGUUAUCGUUUUGGGGGGGUCUUGAUGAGCUAGGAGCCAGACUAACCGCACAUGAUAUCUUUUUGGACAACGGGGAUCAGUGCGGAGGAUCUUUUUGCAGUAGGGCCCACUCCUAGUAUAAGUAGUAAGUUCUUGUAGAAUGUUAUGAUUAAGUUACGACCUGAAACUUUUGUUUAGUUGGGUUAGUGAUGUGGUUGAGAAAAUAUAUAUAUAUAUAU